rnacentral:snRNA from 1 species
AUAAAUUUUUUCGUAAGAAGAAAAUCUGUUCUUAUCAGUUUAAUAUCUGAUAUGUCCUCUAUAUGGGGACAACAUAUUAAAUGUUUUUUUUUUAGCCUCCCAGCCCAA